GCCGGGUGCGGUGGCGCAUGCCUGUAGUCCCAGCUACUUGGGAGGCUGAGGUGGGAGGAUCCAGGAGUUCUGGGCUGUAGUGCACUAUCCAAUCGGGUGUCCACACUAAGUUCAGCAUCAAUAUGGUGACCUGCCGAGAGCAGGGACCACCAGGUGACCUAAGGAGGGGUGAACCAGCCCAGAUCGGAAACAGAGCAAGUCAAAACUCCUGUGCUGAUCAGUAGCGGGAUCACGCCUAUGAAUAGCCACUGCACUCCAGCCUGGGCAACAUAGUGAGACCCUAUCUCA
rnacentral:SRP_RNA from 1 species